UACGUAGGGACCGAGCGUUGUCCGGAAUCAUUGGGCGUAAAGAGCGUGUAGGCGGCCUUUUAAGUCCUGCGUGAAAUCCUGCGGCUCAACCGCAGACGGUCGUGGGAAACUGGAAGGCUAGAGUGCGGGAGAGGAGAGUGGAAUUCCCGGUGUAGCGGUGAAAUGCGCAGAUAUCGGGAAGAACACCCGUGGCGAAGGCGGCUCUCUGGAACGGUACUGACGCUGAGGCGCGAAAGCGUGGGGAGCAAACAGG
rnacentral:rRNA from 1 species